GUGCUCACUUCCACAGCACAUAUACUACAACUGAACAAUACAGGGGAGACUAGCAUGGCCUGUGUGAGGAUGACUCAAAUUUGUGAAGUACUACAUCUGCUC